rnacentral:rRNA from 1 species
CUUGCACUUUGGCAGACUGAGUGGCGGACGGGUGAGUAACGCGUGGGUAACCUGCCUUCAGGAUGGGGACAACAGACGGAAACGACUGCUAAUACCGAAUAAGUUCCAAGAGCCGCAUGGCCCAUGGAAGAAAAGGUGGCCUCUACCUGUAAGCUAUCGCCUGAAGAGGGGUUUGCGUCUGAUUAGCUGGUUGGAGGGGUAACGGCCCACCAAGGCGACGAUCAGUAGCCGGCCUGAGAGGGUGAACGGCCACAUUGGGACUGAGACACGGCCCAAACUCC